rnacentral:rRNA from 1 species
AGAAAAUAGAUACCCAGGUAGUCCACGCCCUAAACGAUCUCGACUAGCUUUGGGGGGAAUCGACCCCUUCCGAGGCGUAGCUAAACGCGUUAAAGUCGAGCGCCUGGGUAGUACGGCCGCAAGGCUAAAACUCAAAGGAAUAGACGGGGACUUGCACAAGCAGUGGAUUAUGCGGUUUAAUUCGUAGGUAAACGAAGAACCUUACCAAGGUUAGAAAUCCAAACGACAGGUAUAGAAAUAUACUCUCCCGCAAGGGCGGUUGGACAGGUGAUGCAUGGCCGUCGUCAGUUCGUGAUUUGAAAUUGUUCCCUUAAGUGGGGUAACGAACGCAACCCUCGUUGCCAGUUACAAGUGUCUGGUGAGACUGCCCCCGUUUGUGCGCAUGAACGAAAGUUCGUGAAUACAAACGGGGGUAGGAAGGCGAGGAUGACGCCAGGUCAGCAUGUCCCUCUGAUACCUCGGGCCACACGCAUAAUACAAUCGCAUCUACAACGGGUCGCGACAGGGUAACCCUGAGCUAAUCCUUAGAAAAGGUGCGCCAGUUCGGAUUGGGGGCUGCAACUCGACCCC